rnacentral:misc_RNA from 1 species
UUUAAAGUCACUCUCAUCUCCAGUGCCUGCGUUAUCCUCCGUUUCUCUGUCUACAAUCCUCUGGCCUGGCCAAACCCUCCAUGGAGUUCACAGCAGAUCAACUCAUCCAUUACAACGGCACUGACCCAUCAAAGCCCAUUUACAUAGCAAUCAAGGGUCGCGUUUUCGAUGUGACCGCCGGCAAGUCCUUUUACGGCCCAGGAGGCUCGUACGCCAUGUUCUCUGGCAAGGACGCUAGCAGAGCUCUGGCCAAGAUGAGCAAGGAAGAUGAAGAUGUCUCUCCUUCUCUGGACGGCCUCACUGAGAAGGAGAUGGGUGUCCUCAAUGACUGGGAGAAGAAGUUCGAAGCUAAGUAUCCAAUUGUUGGCCGUGUUGUCUCUUGAAUUUUCUUGAUUUCUAUUUGCUGUAUUCUGUUUCUAUUGCUAAUCUAAAAGAUCAAUUACCUGUUAUGAUUAUGCUUGAUUAUGGCUUUGCAGAGUAUGAUGAUCUGGAUGAAAACUGUCUGUGUGCUUUGUAAUCGGUGAUUGAAUAAAUUUGGGUUGUGUAAAGUUUUUUUUGUUGAAAUUUGGUUCUUUUUCCCAGCUGCUUGCAUACCUUUCUAUUCAAUCCUUUGUUCCCUGCUAUCUGCUGCUUUGCUUAUUUGCUACAGGACUGGCAGUAACUAGUAUGGGAUGGGAUAUUUCUAAUAUGUGAAGCUGUUUGAAUGAAAUUUUGUGUUUGCUUUGAAUAGGAGAGAUUUAAUUAGGUGAUCUCUUAUGGAUGUAAUUGAACCCAUUUGCCAAUUACUAUAUUGAAAUACUAUCAAUGUACAUCUGAUGUGUGAUUUUUACGGGGGUAAAUGCAUUUGUGGUUGGAAAAAGGGAGUCUCCAUUGACAAAUUGUAUUGUGAGACUUUGUUUCUUAUAACAGGCACACGCUACUGUGGUAGCAUAUUGCUAUUAUUUAAGAUCCCGCAAUGUUAUUCAUUGGCCACUUGUAUAAAUUGGGCUCUAUAAACUGGUUUAUGAUAGAUUGGAAUCUAAGUAUGAAGACAACCCUCUUACUCUUGAGAGCUUGUUCAAGUAGAUUGGUGCCAUUAAUUUCUUGGAUGAGAAAUCUGAUGCCCAUUACCGACUGUCUGCUUCUGGGGUUCUCAUCUUUUCUCUGUCUCUGUGUAGCAGUCAUGGAUUAAGGAUUAAUUGGUUGGGGCUUGAGGACAUAUGCUAUUAAUAGCCUAUGGUCACCUUGCUGCUGUUUCCAGUGCUUUAUCUUGUCUAUAUGUUAUGUUUGCUUUUGAAUCGCAGAAAUAGAUCAAUGAACUUUCUUUUUAAACUGAAUCAAUGAACUAAUUUGAGUCAGG